rnacentral:rRNA from 1 species
CACUGCCGAGAAAAGCCUCUAGAUAGAAAAUAGGUGCCCGUACCGCAAACCGACACAGGUAGUCAAGAUGAGAAUUCUAAGGUGAGCGAGCGAACUCUCGUUAAGGAACUCGGCAAAAUGACCCCGUAACUUCGGGAGAAGGGGUGCUCUUUAGGGUUAACGCCCAGAAGAGCCGCAGUGAAUAGGCCCAAGCGACUGUUUAUCAAAAACACAGGUCUCUGCUAAACCGUAAGGUGAUGUAUAGGGGCUGACGCCUGCCCGGUGCUGGAAGGUUAAGAGGAGUGGUUAGCUUCUGCGAAGCUACGAAUCGAAGCCCCAGUAAACGGCGGCCGUAACUAUAACGGUCCUAAGGUAGCGAAAUUCCUUGUCGGGUAAGUUCCGACCCGCACGAAAGGCGUAACGAUUUGGGCACUGUCUCAACGAGAGACUCGGUGAAAUCAUAGUACCUGUGAAGAUGCAGGUUACCCGCGACAGGACGGAAAG